rnacentral:rRNA from 1 species
CGGAACACGUACGCAACCUUCCUUUAACUGGAGAAUAGCCCCUCGAAAGAGGGAUUAAUACUCCGUAAUAUCCCGAUAUGGCAUCAUAAUGGGAUUAUAGCUCCGGCGGUUAGAGAUGGGCGUGCGCCUGAUUAGGUAGUUGGCGGGGUAAUGGCCCACCAAGCCUGCGAUCAGUAACUGGUGUGAGAGCACGACCAGUCACACGGGCACUGAGACACGGGCCCG